CGGCGAGCGAAAAGAAAAUAGUUCAGCACUAAGUCACAUUGCUGUAAUGGCAAUUGUGAGAUGCAGUGUAUGGAAUAUCUUAAUUCUAGCAUGAGAAAUUAAUGAUUUAAGUCCUUCUUAAAUGAGGCCAUUUACCCACAGAGGGUGCCAGGCCCGUAUAACAUUAAUGAUUGUUAGAAGAUAUUUCCAAAGAGUCGUGUUGCUUGAUAGUGCAGCACUAAGUGGGUGGUAAACUCCAUCUAAAACUAAAUAUAACCAUGAGACCGAUAGUAAACAAGUACCGUGAGGGAAAGUUGAAAAGAACUCUGAAUAGAGAGUUAAAUAGUACGUGAAACUGCUUAGAGGUUAAGCCCGAUGAACCUGAAUAUCUAAUAUAAAGAAUUCAUCAUUAUGAUAAUGAUAACUUUAAAAAAUUAUCAUUAGAAUAGUGUGCAUUUUCUUUUAUAUAAAAUAGACAUUGUAAUCUAUUAAUAUUAUCAUUAAUUUAUCAUAAGAUCAUAAUGCUUAUGUUUGUUUCAAUUAAUAUUUUAUUAUAUUAACAUAAAACGAAUGCAAUUUGAUUUGAUAAAGUGUUGAUAGAUUUAAUCAUAUGUAUAAUGCAUAAAUUUCAAUUUGGAAUUUUAUAAAUUAUUACAAUUUAUAGGCAUUUAUACGAUUAACAAUGCGCAAGAUUCAGGAUACCUUCGGGACCCGUCUUGAAACACGGACCAAGGAGUCUAACAUAUGUGCAAGCUUUUGGGAAACAAUCAAAUUGUAAAACCCUUAAGCAUAAUUAACUUAACUUUUGAUGGGAUUAAUUUUUUGAUAGUUUUACUAUCAUUUAAUACAAUCCCAGGGCGUUCUAAUACAGUUAUGUAUAAUGGUAUUUUUUAAAUAUCUAUUUAUGCCUCUAACUAGAGCGUACCUUGAGCAUUUAUGCUGUGACCCGAAAGAUGGUGAACUAUACUUGAUCAGGUUGAAGUCAGGGGAAACCCUGAUGGAAGACCGAAACAGUUCUGACGUGCAAAUCGAUUGUCAGAAUUGAGUAUAGGGGCGAAAGACCAAUCGAACCAUCUAGUAGC
rnacentral:rRNA from 1 species